rnacentral:rRNA from 1 species
UACGGAGGGUGCAAGCGUUAAUCGGAAUUACUGGGCGUAAAGCGCACGCAGGCGGUCUGUCAAGUCGGAUGUGAAAUCCCCGGGCUCAACCUGGGAACUGCAUUCGAAACUGGCAGGCUAGAGUCUUGUAGAAGGGGGUAGAAUUCCAGGUGUAGCGGUGAAAUGCGUAGAGAUCUGGAGGAAUACCGGUGGCGAAGGCGGCCCCCUGGACAAAGACUGACGCUCAGGUGCGAAAGCGUGGGGAGCAAACAGG